GGGAUUGUGGCUCAGUGGCAGAGCGCUUGCCUCGCAUGUAUGAGGCACUGGGUUCGAUCCUCAGCACCA
rnacentral:tRNA from 1 species